AUAGAGACUCAGAGCUGCAUAUCAAUAAGCGGAGGAAAAGAAACUAACAAGGAUUCCCCUAGUAACGGCGAGUGAAGCGGGAAGAGCUCAAAUUUGAAAUCUUAAAGGGUUUCCCUUUACGAAUUGUAGUUUAAAGAAGUGUUUUCUGUUGAGGUUUUGGUAAAAGUUCUUUGGAAUAGGACAUCAUAGAGGGUGAGAAUCCCGUAUUUGACCUUUACUUUCAACUUUGUGAUACACUUUCAAAGAGUCGGAUUGUUUGGGAAUGCAGUCCAAAAUGGGUGGUAAAUUUCAUCUAAAGCUAAAUAUUGGCGAGAGACCGAUAGCGAACAAGUACCGUGAGGGAAAGAUGAAAAGAGCUUUGAAAAGAGAGUUAAACAGUACGUGAAAUUGUCAAAAGGGAAGCGUUUGACACCAGUGUUGUUUUCUCUGAAGAUCAAUUAAAGAACUGUUUAUGCUAAGCUUGUUUAGACUUUAUCAGCUAUCUGUUUAGUUUUGAGCUUUUCUUUAAUGCACUUUUCAGUUAACAAGUCAACAUCAAUUUCUUUUGCUGUAAAAAAGCUUGAGGAAGGUGGCUUGAGAUUCGUCUUAAGUGCUUAUAGCCUCUUGCCUAUGCAGUCGGAGAGAUUGAGGUCUGCAGCGUAGAUCCUUCGGGGCUAAAUGCAUUUGUGCUAAGUUUAUAGCAUUUUAUAGACAACUUGUUGACUAUGAUUUGUCUUGUAGCUUACUCGCUUAUGAUAUUUUACCUACGCUUAGGAUGUUGAACGCGCACAGAGUCUC
rnacentral:rRNA from 1 species